rnacentral:lncRNA from 4 species
ACCGCGAUAACUCCGCCCCCGCCUCCUCGCUCCUCCCCCGCUGCCAUAGCCCGCCGCCUCCUCGCUCCUCCUCGCCGCCCGCCCCACGAAUCCCCGCGCCUCCUAGCUUCUCCUCCGCGCCCGCGAAUCCCCGCCGCCUCCUCGCUCCGCGCGCAUCCUCCCUCCUCGCGACGGGGCAGCGAGGUCGUCCCCUUCCGCUGCCACCCCCGCUGCCCACGCCGGAGACGAGGUCGUCCCCAGCCACCGCCGGAGCCGUGGUCUUCCCCGGAGCCGACGUCGUCCCCAGUUGCCGCCGGAGCCGAGUUCUUCCCCAUCCGCAUUGGAUCUGAAUGCACCACAUAUCUUCCCCUCUGGAAAUUAUUAUUUUUGGAUGAAAUUGACGGAAUACCAAUGGCUAUUGCAACAAGUCCCUUCAGCGACAUCUGGAAACCUAGGAUCUCACCUACAAAAAUAGGAAUCCAGGAGUUGGAGCCAUUCGAACAUGCAGCAUGUCUCUUGCUAAUGUCUUCCUGAGCUUUCAAAUCAUAAGGCCCUUGCCUCACUGAUCAAAAUAUUCAGGUCACUAGAGGUUCUAAUUUGCUUGCAAUCCUUAUGGUUUCCACUCAUCACAGUGAUAAGGCACCAUAUUCUUAUGGCCAGUGCUUCUAUGUUCUGAGCUUACUGGUAUCCAUAUUUUUAAGCACUCUAUUUCUUUGCUCUGGUUUCUUUUUUUGCAACCAGUUUCUGAUGGAACAUUUCUUAUGGCUAGAAAUUGUCACGUAAUCUUCAAUGCGCUCUAGAAAUUUCAGAUUGAGCUAUUUGAAUUUUGCUAUGUUAAUUUGAAUAAUACAGUAUUCCAAAGCGGCAGUGGAUCAUUAUAACCAACUACCACAAACUAUUCAAUUGCAGAAUUUCUGCAUUCCAAUUUUUGCAUUUCUCAAUUUAAUCAUGUAUUUUGGUUUGAGUAAUUGCAAAGUAAAAUUGAUUUUGUAAUUGUAAAAAUGAAUGAAUUUUCUGGACAACAUUUAAUGUGAUUUUAUCAAAACACAAUGAACCUUUUAAUUUGUCCGUAUAGUUCUGUUUUCUUUUAUUUUCAAAAGUAAGAUCCUCAGUAUAAGCUUUUGUUUGUGGAUCUCUUAAUAAUGAAUAUUGGGGGUCCAAUCCUCUCUUGCUCCACCGUUGGACCAGUAGUAGCAGCAGGUUGGAAGCUGGUGAACACGAUCUCAGGGAAGGACACAAUGGCGGCUUCGUACGAUCUCACAUAUGACAAUUCUAUCAUUGCCUUAGAUUUUACCAACCAAAGAUGCAAGGGGUACUCAUUCUUUUGAUUUUGUCCAGAUGGACAGCUCCAGUCCAUAACAUUCUAUCUACACAGUCAACGACUCAGUUAAUAAUAAAACUGAAAAAAUGUUCUCUUUUAUUUUUAAAUAAGAUUUUCACACAACCUGAAAGUAAGAUAUCAAAGGAGCACUGGCCUGAUAUAAAUGAUUUUUUUCUGACGAAUGUGGACUACCAAUGUAAUGCACAUGCCUAAGAUAUUUAAGGUUUUCUUUUUUCUGCAGUACUUAAAGACUUGUAUUUUGUAAUAUUGUAGGUUAAAUCUCAACUUCUGAUGUAUCUCAAGUGUAAAUAUGGUCAUUGUCAUAUUGCUAAUAUUUUGGAUUUAAUCAAAUAAAUGAUGACCAUUGCUGCCC